rnacentral:rRNA from 1 species
UACAGAGGGGGCAAGCGUUAUUCGGAAUUAUUGGGCGUAAAGGGCGCGUAGGCGGCCUGGCAAGUGGAAGAUGAAAUCCCUCGGCUUAACCGAGGAACUGCCCUCCAAACUGCUUGGCUUGAGUCCGGGAGAGGUGAGUGGAAUUCCCAGUGUAGCGGUGAAAUGCGUAGAUAUUGGGAGGAACACCAGUGGCGAAGGCGGCUCACUGGACCGGAACUGACGCUGAGGUGCGAAAGCGUGGGGAGCAAACGGG